GGGGUACGUGUUAGUCUAGAUUGUAAAAAGCAACAAAGAGCCUGGUGGCACUUAUAGACCAACAGAAUCGGUGAAGCACAAGCCCCCAUGGG